rnacentral:antisense_RNA from 1 species
CUUGAUCGAGCCCAGGUAGAGCGGCCGGUCCUCGAACCGCUCCUGCCCGUACGUCGCGAGCAGCGCCUGCGCCUC